UUCCUACGGGGGGCAGCAGUGAGGAAUAUUGGUCAAUGGGAGAGAUCCUGAACCAGCCAAGCCGCGUGAGGGAAGACGGCCCUAUGGGUUGUAAACCUCUUUUGUCGGAGAACAAAACCCGGGACGUGUCCCGGACUGCGUGUAUCCGAAGAAUAAGCUCCGGCUAACUACGUGCCAGCAGCCGCGGUAAUACGUAGGGAGCAAGCGUUAUCCGGAAUUAUUGGGUGUAAAGGGUGCGUAGACGGGACAGCAAGUUAGUUGUGAAAGCCCUCGGCUUAACUGAGGAACUGCAACUAAAACUAUUG
rnacentral:rRNA from 1 species